GUUGGGUGGUAUACCGGUUCAUAGCGAAUACCGGUGUUUUUUUUUUAUAUGAUAUGAAUUUUAGAAAUACCUCCAUACCGGUGAAUGCGUUGCGCAGAGCGGCGGAACGCCGUGCCCGCAGGGCAUUGUUUGAGUGGGGACAGUUUAGCGGUUGCACCAAACAAGCAGCAUGAGAGAGCACAGCCUGGGU